AAAAAAAUAUUUUAAAAUUUUAACUUUGAUUUGUUGUUAAUUGAAAUUCAAAAUGGAUGCAAAAUACUGGCUUAAGAGCUUGCAAGACUGGACUGCGGAGUUCAACUCCUCAUACUAUUGUUAAUAGCGCGUAGCAUAAGCCACUUGCUAGACCUGCAAUGUUUAUACGAAUUAAUUAUGUGUAAGCUACAGAAUGCAGCAAGCUGUCUAAUCAGUUCCGGGAGCUCCUGGAGCGUGUUUAGCGAAUUUUAGUGUACAUAACAUAAUGUCAAAUAAAGUCUUGUUAAUGUUUA